rnacentral:tRNA from 1 species
GCCCUCAUCGUCUAGAGGCCUAGGACACCUCCCUUUCACGGAGGUAACACCGGUUCGAAUCCGGUUGGGGGUACCA